GACGAACGCUUGCGGCGUGCCUAAGAAAUGCAAGUCGAGCGGGGAUGCUUCGCAUUGAGUUGAUAGAUCGAUCCUAGUGGAUAGUUGAUAGUAACGGGCCGGGUCUUCCGUUUCCCAACUAUCAACCAUCAACUAUCGACCAUCAACUGAAUGCGGGGCAUUCGUAGCGGCGAACGGUCGCGUAACACGUAAGCAACCUGCCCCGAAGACCGGGACAACAUUCCGAAAGGAGNGCUAAUACCGGAUGUGGCCACUGGGGGACAUCCUCUGGUGAUUAAA
rnacentral:rRNA from 1 species